rnacentral:rRNA from 2 species
UACGAAGGGGGCUAGCGUUGCUCGGAAUUACUGGGCGUAAAGGGCGCGUAGGCGGCGGCCCAAGUCAGGCGUGAAAUUCCUGGGCUCAACCUGGGGACUGCGCUUGAUACUGGGUUGCUUGAGGAUGGAAGAGGCUCGUGGAAUUCCCAGUGUAGAGGUGAAAUUCGUAGAUAUUGGGAAGAACACCGGUGGCGAAGGCGGCGAGCUGGUCCAUUACUGACGCUGAGGCGCGACAGCGUGGGGAGCAAACAGG